GUAAUGGACCCAGCUAUGUAAAUUAUGGAUUUUGGUGAUUUUGCUAAUGGAACAGUGAAUCGAUUUGUUUAGAAAGUAAGGAAGUAUAGAGAGAGAAGUUUAGAGAGGAAAAGACAUUUCUCAUUUCUUGUCUUCCACUACAAGCAUCGGAGACUAUAUAUGUGGUCCCAAAAAUAAAAGGAAUUCCAUCACAAGUAAUUAAAAUAACACAUAAAGGAUAAAACGUUUUUAUAGGAAAACGCGAUCCUUCUCUUCUCUUGGAUAGCAUUUAGCCACUUUCUUUGGUACUCUCUUUCGAGACUAACUCAGCCAUCAUUUCCUUCUUGCAGCUCAAAUCCCCAACUUUACAUUUUGGCUCUAAUUCCUCCAUCCCUUCUGCAAUCAAACUCAAAUCCGUAACAAUACCCCCUUCUAAAGUAGAUCCUUGUCCGCAAGGAUAGAAGGAGGGAAAACGCCGGCGGAUAAAAGCGACAUCUUCCCAAGUGGCAAGAUCAGCCCCCAAGUUCAACCACUGUACCUGCAUUUGGGAAACGGGAGUGUUCUUCCGCACAAUCUCACGAGUAUCUAGAACUGCUAAAGGUUCGAUUUUGAACUGGCCGUCGUCAGUAAUUUCGGGCAGAUCUGGUACAGGUAACACUCCUUCCUUCAGACAUUUCUUGAGUAGAGAUACAUGAAACACGGGAUGAAUCCGUGAAGAUUCCGGCAGAUCCAAUUUGUAAGCCACUGUGCCAACCUUCUCUAAGACCGUGUACGGACCAUAGUAGCGAGCUGAAAGUUUGAGAUUUUUGCGGAGAGAGAGAGAAUUCUGCCGAUAGGGUUGUAGUUUAAGAUAAACGCGAUCCCCAACCUCAAAGUGACGUUCUUGGCGUUUCUGAUCAGAAAAGAACUUCAUUCGCCCCUGCGCUUGAAGUAAAUUUUCCUUGAGUAAAUGAGUAAACUGCCGCCUUUCUUCAAAAAUAUCCCUUGCUUCCUCAUUAGUAGUAUCCAGUGGCGGAUCCAGGGGGGGGGCUAGGGGGGGCUUCAGCCCCCUCCCAAUUUUUGAGUUUUUUUUUAAAUUAUAGAUAUAUAUAUUUAUUAUUUUUUUUAUAUCUAUAUAUAUGUGUAUAUAAAUAAAAAAAUACAAGAAAAAAUAUAGUAAUACAUUAUUUUAUAGUAUCCAACUAUCCCAUAUUAAUUGAUCAACACAUUGAGUUGUUACAUUUAUAGUAUUAUUUUUAUCAUUUUUUCUUUCUUAGUUAAUUUUUAAUGUUAAAUUUGAGUCAAUUCUAAAGGUAAAAGUAAAAUUACUAAUUACUAACAAUGAAAAUUAGUUUAUUUGUUUAGAAGAUGAAACAAUUUUUUUUUAAGAAAAAUGAAUAAAAGUACGUUUUUAUAUGCUUUCAAUCUACUUGAUGUUGAAUUAAUUGAAUUGCGAACAAUUAUCUUAUUAUAUUAAGUGAUUGUUGAAAAAAUGUAUGAAAUGAAGUGUACGGAAUGCUCAAAAAAAUUUGCUUCGGGGGCUCCCGCCCCCGAACCCCCGUGUAAAUAUUUUCAAGCACCGUAAUCCAAUAGAUUCAGCCCCCCCUAACAUUGAAUCCUGGAUCCGCCCCCUGGUAGUAUCCAAAUAGGAACCAAGCCCCAAUUGCCGUGGAGGAAAACCGUAAAGAGCGUGAAAAGGAGUACACUUAAGACUAGAAUGAUAAUUUGUAUUAUACCAAUACUCAGCCAAAGAUAACCAUUUUAGCCAUUGUUUAGGUGUAGAGCUGGCCAUACAGCGCAGGUAGAUCUCCAGGCAUUGAUUCAAACGUUCAGUUUGUCCAUCUGUUUGAGGAUGAUAGGCUGUGGACAUAGCAAGCUUAGUACCCAUAAGCUUGAAUAAUUCUUUCCAAAAAGAGCUCACAAACACCCUGUCGCGGUCAGAAAUAAUGCAGUCUGGUGAACCAUGUAGCUUGUAUAUGUUAUCUAAAAACAACUGAGCCACAGAUUGGGCAGUAAAAGGGUGAGACAAAGCGAUGAAGUGACCAUACUUGGUAAACCGAUCUAUAACCACCAAUAUAACAUUCUUUCCACCUGACUUUGGGAGCCCCUCCACAAAAUCAAGAGAUAUCUCAGACCAUGCCCUGGUAGGAACAUGUAAAGGUUGUAAAAGCCCUGGGUAGCUUCCCACAUCAGAUUUAUUGCGCUGGCACACAUCACAUUCCUUAACCCACUUUAGGACAUCAGCUUUCAUUUUAGGCCAGUAAAAAUAGCCCUUAAGCCUCAUAUAGGUUGCAUUGAUCCCAGAGUGACCACCAUAAGGAGUGUUGUGCAUCUCUUGUAUUAAUGUAGUUCUUAACUUUGUAUCACUACCAAUAACAACUCUUCCUUUGUACUUGAGUAGGUCAGCGACUACCAAAAAUUCUGGGUAGGAUGUGGAAUCGAUAGCCUUGGCUGCCAUAACUCCAGAUAGGAAAGAAUCCUGUUGAUAACUAUUAAUAACCUUCUGCACCCAAGAAGGAACAAUAGUGGUGAGUUCAUUACAAGUAGCUUCAUUCACCAAGCAUCUAGAUAGAGCAUCAGCCACUUUAUUCUCAGAACCUUUCUUAUAUUGAAUUUCAUAGUUUAAUCCCAACAACUUAGUAAGCCACCUAAGUUGGACGGGAUUAACGGUUUUUUGAUCAAGUAAGUACUUGAGCGCUUGUUGAUCCGUCCUGAUAACAAACUUUUUUCCCUGCAGGUAUGAUUUCCACUUCUGCACUGCUACCACCACUGCGAGGAAUUCUUUUUCAUAGAUAGAUAGAGACUGGUUUUGUGGGCACAAAGCUUUGCUCAUGUAGGCUAUGGGCUGAUUGUUCUGCAUUAGUACCGCCCCCACACCACAACCGCUGGCAUCCGUUUCCAAAACAAAAGGUUUGGUGAAGUCAGGUAAAGCUAGAACAGGAGCUGUAGACAUAGCUUCCUUGAGCAGAUUGAAGGCCUUCUCUGCCUCAUCAUUCCACUUGAAAUUGUCUUUCUUUAGGAGAAGAGUCAGUGGUCUACUAAUCAACCCAUAAUGUUUGACAAACUUUCUAUAAUAACCAGUCAAUCCCAAAAAUCCCCUAAGUUGUUUAACAUUCUUUGGAACUGGCCAGGUGACCAUGCUGGUUAUUUUUGCAGGGUCAGUGGAGACUCCUUCUGCAGUGAUGACAUGACCCAGAUACUCAAUUUGUUGUUGCCCAAAUUGACAUUUGCUCCUUUUGGCAAAUAAGGUAUGUGCCCUCAAUAACUCCAGCACCUGUUUUAAGUGGAUUAAAUGCUCUUCCAACGUUUUGCUGUAGACCAAGAUAUCAUCAAAGAAAACCAAUACACUCUUCCUUAAGUACCCCUGAAAAACUCUAUUCAUUAAAGAUUGAAAAGUAGCUGGAGCAUUACACAAUCCGAAGGGCAUUACCAAGAAUUCAUAAUGACCCUGAUGAGUGCUAAAGGCAGUGAGGUAUCUGUCAGCAGGAUCCAUUAAUAUUUGGAAAUAACCUGACCUCAAAUCCAAUUUAGAAAAGUAUCUUGCUCCAUGCAGCUCAUCUAGCAAUUCCUCAAUAAUAGGGAUAGGGUAAUCAUGCUUAACUGUUAAUGAGUUUAGAUACCUGUAAUCCACACACAUCCUCCAAGUAUUAUCCUUCUUCUUUACUAAAAUGACUGGUGCAGCAUAAGGACUCCUGCUAUGCCGAAUAACACCAUCCUUUAAUAAAUCACCAACAAUUCUUUCAAUCUCAUUCUUGUGGGUGUGUGAUGUUCUGUAAGGAUGUUGAUGCCUAGGCUCACUAUUGGGUUUCAGCCUGGUGUGGUGCUCUAUUCCUCUUUCAGGUGGCAGCCCUUGUGGUUCCGCAAAAACAUCAUUGUACUCCUCCAACAAAGGCAGCAACACUGGUUCAGUCAGUGAUUGUUGAGUUUCAGGAGUAAUAAGGUAAAUCUCCUCCACUUCAUGUAGGUGACAAUGUAAUAGAGAGUAUAUCCCAGCUUCAGAUAUGACAUGACACUCAGUAGACUUAUUGAUUGCUUGUAUUUUCAACCUUUUACCUCCCAUGGUGACAAUACAAGUCAUCUUCUUAUAAUCCAAAGUAAUUGGAGUAACAAACUCCAGCCAAUCACUGCCUAAGAUAACAUCAUAUCCCUCGUUCCUGAGUAGCCUUAAAGAGUAAGUAAACAUGUGGCCCUGAACAGUCCAGCUGAAAUCAGUAGCUACAGCCUGACUAACUAGCUUCUGUCCAUUUGCUACCUUUACCAACAAAGGUUCCCCAGUAUCCACUUUGCAUCCCAACUUCUUUGCUGUACUCUCCUUAAGGAAACUCAAGGUACUCCCAGUAUCAAUGAGUACUUGCAGUUUAUGGUCCCCCACUUCUCCAACCAUCCUCAUUGUCUUUGAUCCAGUACUGCCUAAUAAAGCAUUUAUAGACACUUGAAAUUCCUCAGUAGUCUCAAGGAUAGGAGUUUCCAUUUCUACAAAUUCAUUAUCAUGCUGCAUUUGUGCAAGUUCUUGUUCCUCGGGCAUGGAGAUAUAAAAUACUUUUGGCUUGCACUUAUGCCCGAAGACAUAUGGAUCAUCACAGUUGUAGCAUAAUCCUUUUUCCCUUCUUGCUGCCAUCUCUGAACUUGUAAGCAUCUUGAUAGGAACCUUAAAGUUGUUAGUGGUUUUGUGGGCAAUAGCUUGUUCAGGCUUCUUGUAACCCCCUCCUCCUUGAUUACUAGAAAAUUUUUGCCCCGAACGCACCCUCUUGGCCAAAGCAUCCAGCGUGAUGAGUUGCUUCUGUCCAAAAUCAAUAGCUUCCCUCAAGGUUUGAGGUUUAAAUAAUAGUAGGAAGCUUUGCAUUUCCUCAGAUAAGCCACUGAUAAAAUUGGCCACGAAGUACUCCUCUGAAUACUUGAUCUGGCUGCUCAAUAAUAAACAAGCCCUCAACUCCUCAAAUUUCUCAACAUACUCAUCAUAAUUUCCAGUCUGCUUUAGGUUCUUAAAUUCCAUCAUCAACCUGCCCUCAUUAAUGUCCUCAAACCUGGCAGCAACAACAUCUAAGAACUGUUCCCAAGUAAUGUCUAACACAUUCUCAUAACCAAAGUUUUGAAACCAUAGUAGUGCUUUGCCCUCAAAAUUAUGGAUAGCUAGCUGUAUCAUGUGCUCAUCAUACAUCACAGAGGUAAGCUUAAAAUAUGUAUUGCAUUUAAUGAUCCAUGCUCUAGGGUUUGAUCCAUUAAAUUUUGGAAAGUCUACCCUAUGGUUUGUAUUUGCAGAAUAUGGAGUAUCGGAUGUAAAUUUUGAAGAAAAAGAACCGGAUCCGGGAGAUUUACCAUCACGAUGAGGAGUGUGACCCAGAAUAGAGCCCCCUGAAGAUCCACCUUGUUUUUUGCCCAAAUUCAUUAACUGCAGCUGGAUGUCAGCCAACACAGCAGAUAAGUGUUCACACUUUUUAUCUAUGUUUACCAUCUUCGAAUCUACUGAAGAAAUCUGCUCCUUCAUUCUUUCCUCAGUAGCAACCCUUUUUAACGUCUCAGCUUGAAAGAUUUGCUCUAAUUUCUUCUGUGUAUCCUGCAGAUCCUUGAAACGAGUAGCCUCUGCCAUGAUCGCCCAGAAUUUCGCUCAAAUAAGCAAAAACCCGUGCUCUGAGAUACCAAUUGUAAUGGACCCAGCUAUGUAAAUUAUGGAUUUUGGUGAUUUUGCUAAUGGAACAGUGAAUCGAUUUGUUUAGAAAGGAAGGAAGUAUAGAGAGAGAAGUUUAGAGAGGAAAAGACAUUUCUCAUUUCUUGUCUUCCACUACAAGCAUCGGAG
rnacentral:lncRNA from 1 species